UACGUAGGGUGCGAGCGUUAAUCGGAAUUACUGGGCGUAAAGCGUGCGCAGGCGGUUUUGCAAGCCGGAUGUGAAAUCCCCGGGCUUAACCUGGGAAUGGCAUUUGGGACUGCAAGGCUGGAGUGCGGCAGAGGAGACUGGAAUUCCUGGUGUAGCGGUGAAAUGCGCAGAUAUCAGGAGGAACACCGGUGGCGAAGGCGGUUCUCUGGGCCUGUACUGACGCUGAGGAGCGAAAGCGUGGGGAGCGAACAGG
rnacentral:rRNA from 1 species